rnacentral:tRNA from 1 species
GGGCUGGUAGCUCAGCGGUUAGAGCGCGCGCUUGAUAAGCGUGAGGUCGGAGGUUCAAAUCCUCCCCGGCCCA